rnacentral:rRNA from 1 species
UACGGGGGGGGCAAGCGUUGUUCGGAAUUACUGGGCGUAAAGGGCUCGUAGGUGGCCGACUAAGUCGGACGUGAAAUCCCUCAGCUUAACUGGGGAACUGCGUCCGAUACUGGAUGGCUUGAGUUUGGGAGAGGGAUGCGGAAUUCCAGGUGUAGCGGUGAAAUGCGUAGAUAUCUGGAGGAACACCGGUGGCGAAGGCGGCAUCCUGGACCAACACUGACACUGAGGAGCGAAAGCGUGGGUAGCAAACAGG